rnacentral:rRNA from 1 species
CAUGCUGUAGACCCGAAACCGUGUGAUCUACCCAUGGACAGGGUGAAGGUGGGGUAAAACCCACUGGAGGCCCGAACUCACUGUCGUUGAAAAGACAGGGGAUGAGCUGUGGGUAGGGGAGAAAUUCCAAUCGAACACGGAGAUAGCUGGUUCUCCCCGAAAUAGCUUUAGGGCUAGCCUCAAUUNAUGAUUCUUGGCGGUAAAGCACUGAAUAGGCUAGGGGCCUUACCGGGUUACCGAACCUUAUCAAACUCAGAAUGCCAAGAAUUUAGAUUGGGAGUCAGACUGUGGGGGAUAAGCUUCAUAGUCAAAAGGGAAACAGCCCAGACCAUCAGCUAAGGUCCCCAAGUAUACGCUAAGUGGAAAAGGAUGUGGAAUUGCAUAGACAACCAGGAUGUUGGCUCAGAAGCAGCCACCAUUUAAAGAGUGCGUAAUAGCUCACUGGUCGAGUGGUUCUGCGCCGAAAAUGUAACGGGGCUCAAGCGUAUCACCGAAGCUAUGGCUUGCACACACUGUGUGCAGGGGUAGGGGAGCGUUCUAUUCGCNGCGAAGUCAGACUGUGAGGUCUGGUGGAGUGAAUAGAAGUGAGAAUGCCGGUAUGAGUAUGCGAAAAGGUGAGUGAGAAUCUCACCCGCCGAAAACCUAAGGAUUCCUGGGGAAGGCUCGUCCGCCCAGGGUAAGUCGGGACCUAAGCCGAGGCGUAAAGCGUAGGCGAUGGACAACUGGUUGAGAUUCCAGUACCACUGAGAAGCGUUUGAGCGAUGGGGUGACACAGAAGGAUAGGUUAAGCGUGCCGUUGGUUGAGCACGCCCAAGCCCGUAGGGUGUGAGAUAGGCAAAUCCGUCUCGCGAAUAAACCUAAAAGGUGAUGGGGAGCGAAAUAAGUAGCGAAGUAACCGACUCCAAGCUGUCAAGAAAAGCCUCUAGCGAGCUUNCUUAGUGCCCGUACCGUAAACCGACACAGGUAGGUAAGGAGAGAAUCCUAAGGCGCGCGAGAAAACCCUCGUUAAGGAACUCGGCAAAAUGACCCCGUAACUUCGGGAGAAGGGGUGCUCUAGAGAUAGAGCCGCAGAGAAGAGGUCCAGGCGACUGUUUAUCAAAAACACAGGUUCCUGCCAAUCUGAAAAGAGAAGUAUAGGAGCUGACGCCUGCCCGGUGCUGGAAGGUUAAGAGGAGAGGUUAGCCCGAAAGAGCGAAGCUUUGAAUUGAAGCCCCAGUAAACGGCGGCCGUAACUAUAACGGUCCUAAGGUAGCGAAAUUCCUUGUCAGGUAAGUUCUGACCCGCACGAAAGGCGUAACGAUCUGGACACUGUCUCAACGAGGGACUCGGCGAAAUUGUAAUACCCGUGAAGAUGCGGGUUACCUGCGACAGGACAGAAAGACCCCAUGGAGCUUUACUGUAGCUUGACAUUGGACUUUGGUAUGAAAUGUACAGGAUAGGUGGGAGACUNAGAAGCUAGGGCGCCAGCCUUGGUGGAGUCACNGGUGGGAUACCACUCUUUUUGUACUGAAGUUCUAACCUAGGCCCCUGAAUCGGGGUUGGGGACCGUGUCAGGUGGGCAGUUUGACUGGGGCGGUCGCCUCCUAAAGAGUAACGGAGGCGCCCAAAGGUUCCCUCAGCGCGGAUGGAAAUCGCGCGAAGAGUGUAAAGGCACAAGGGAGCUUGACUGCGAGACCAACAAGUCGAGCAGGGACGAAAGUCGGGCUUAGUGAUCCGGUGGUACCGAGUGGAAGGGCCAUCGCUCAACGGAUAAAAGCUACCCUGGGGAUAACAGGCUUAUCUCCCCCAAGAGUCCAUAUCGACGGGGAGGUUUGGCACCUCGAUGUCGGCUCAUCGCAUCCUGGGGCUGUAGUAGGUCCCAAGGGUUGGGCUGUUCGCCCAUUAAAGCGGUACGUGAGCUGGGUUCAGAACGUCGUGAGACAGUUCGGUCCCUAUCCGUCGCAGGCGCAGGAAAUUUGAGAGGAACUGACCCUAGUACGAGAGGACCGGGUUGGACGGAUCACUGGUGUACCAGUUGUCUCGCCAGAGGCAGUGCUGGGUAGCUAUAUCCGGAUCGGAUAAGCGCUGAAAGCAUCUAAGCGCGAAGCCGGCCUCAAGAUGAGAUUUCCCACAGCGUAAGCUGGUAAGACCCCUGAAAGAUGAUCAGGUAGAUAGGCCCGAAGUGGAAGUGCGGCGACGCAUGGAGCGGACGGGUACUAAUCGGUCGAGGGCUUGACCUA